GAUGAACGCUAGCUACAGGCUUAACACAUGCAAGUCGAGGGGCAGCAUGGUCUUAGCUUGCUAAGGCCGAUGGCGACCGGCGCACGGGUGAGUAACACGUAUCCAACCUGCCGUCUACUCUUGGACAGCCUUCUGAAAGGAAGAUUAAUACAAGAUGGCAUCAUGAGUUCACAUGUUCACAUGAUUAAAGGUAUUCCGGUAGACGAUGGGGAUGCGUUCCAUUAGAUAGUAGGCGGGGUAACGGCCCACCUAGUCUUCGAUGGAUAGGGGUUCUGAGAGGAAGGUCCCCCACAUUGGAACUGAGACACGGUCCAAAACUCCUACGGGAGGCAGCAGUGAGGAAUAUUGGUCAAUGGACGAGAGUCUGAACCAGCCAAGUAGCGUGAAGGAUGACUGCCCUAUGGGUUGUAAACUUCUUUUAUACGGGAAUAAAGUGAGGCACGUGUGCCUUUUUGUAUGUACCGUAUGAAUAAGCAUCGGCUAACUCCGUG
rnacentral:rRNA from 1 species